GAUGAAGAACGCAGCGAAAUGCGAUAAGUAAUGUGAAUUGCAGAAUUCAGUGAAUCAUCGAAUCUUUGAACGCACAUUGCGCCCGCCAGUAUUCUGGCGGGCAUGCCUGUUCGAGCGUCAUUUCAACCAUCAAGCCCCAGGCUUGUGUUGGGGACCUGCGGCUGCCGCAGGCCCUGAAAACCAGUGGCGGGCUCGCUGUCACACCGGGCGUAGUAGAUUUUAUCUCGCUCAGGGCGUGCUGCGGGUUCCGGCCGUGAAACCCCUCCAAUUUAUCAAGGUUGACCUCGGAUCAGGUAGGAAUACCCGCUGAACUUAAGCAUAUCAAUAAGCGGAGGA
rnacentral:misc_RNA from 1 species